GCUUUGCAUCUGAUAGCAACCAACAGCAGGAAGUGCUAUUGCUGGUGCCUUUAAUAACAGUGCGACCUAGACUUGCUUUAAUCUUUGUAGACUCUGCCUGCAGUCACAAAAUACAAAUUCUUCAGCCCUGGCAAUUCAGGCAGUACCCAGUACUUAGCCUUGGAUUUCUCAAUUUAAAGGAAAACUUACCUGAAAUCAAUCCAGCACUCCCUCCUCCUGAAUCUGGACUUCUCAACAGAAGCCUGUUAGGAACAAGACUGUACAGAAACAAGAUUCACACACUGAUUUGCACGGAUAACAUAAUGACCGUGACAAACACAAAAGGAGGGGUAAAAGUAAAGUGCCACAAGCUUCCUUCAUUAAAGUAUGUUUUCCACUUCACUGUGCCUGGUAAAAGAGCACAGGAAUCUCUCUACAAUGCCAACAUUGCUUCAUUACUUUUCCUUUGUUUAAAUGAGACAACAUACAUCAAUCCAGAAGCAAGCAAGAAAGAAUCCUCUUUCUCCUCUGACGUCUGGGUAUAUGCAAUGAAACACAUUUUGGCUAACUGAUCCAAAUUCUAUCACUAGCACUGUCAUAGUGAGACAAAACAUCACUUUGCUGAUCAAAGGCUAGAGAACAUUAUUACUUUGUACAAUAGGGAGCAGAAAAAUAUUUCAAACUAAUUCAUGUCUACCAAAAAGAAGAUACUAAUUUAUAAAAAGUGUUUAAAAAAAUGUAGAGACCUAAAUAUGAUUAAAAUAACUACAUUAUUUCCUUAAAAUCCCUUACCUUUAGGCAACAUCAGCACAAAUACAAUUAAUAACUCAUUGAGAAAUAAUAAUUUCUUCCUUUUCAAUAAAGAUGAAAAGCAUUAGUCACAAAUUUGAUUUUAAAGCCUUUGCCUAUGAACUAGGUGUGUUUCCCUCCUCCACACCCCCACCCUCCCAAAAUUUUCCACAGAAAGCAUUCUUUUUUUUUUUUUUUUUGGAAAAGGCAUUUUGAUUUAAAGGAAAAAAAAAAAUCAAUGUAUUAUUUGAUUGCCAUGCUAAUUUACGAUUCUUUCCAAUUAAGUGGUACAUUUAAUGCUGUAUUACUUCUAAACUGCUUAAUAUUGUUAUGAUGAAAUAAAAAGAAACCAGUCAAGAUAUACUUGUUUGCAAUAAAGAGGAAAGAAUCUGUGGACUAGUGUAGAAAAAAAUUAAUCCAAGAGUAGGUUCUCAACCCUGUAGGCCAUUAAUAAGUGUUUCUGAAACUGUAGUAAGUCUAUCAUGCUUUUAAGAACAAAAUCCAAACAACACUACCAGAAAGGGGGAAAAAAAUCCCACUCCUUUCCUGUUGCUCAAAACCUAACCUUUUAUGAAAUAGCUUAAAGGUUGAAAAUAAAUGUUUCAGUUAUCUUUAAUAGAUGUCCUAAAUCAAGACAUAAGAUGUCACAUGAUUCAUAUCCAUGAAUAUAUCCAAUAUCAUGAUUCAUGAACUAAAAAUAG